CAGCCGCCGCGGGAAUACGAAGGGGGCUAGCGUUGUUCGGAUUUACUGGGCGUAAAGGGAGCGUAGGCGGAUUUUUAAGUCAGGGGUGAAAUCCCAAGGCUCAACCUUGGAACUGCCUUUGAUACUGGAGAUCUUGAGUCCGGGAGAGGUGAGUGGAACUGCGAGUGUAGAGGUGAAAUUCGUAGAUAUUCGCAAGAACACCAGUGGCGAAGGCGGCUCACUGGCCCGGAACUGACGCUGAGGCUCGACAGCGUGGGGAGCAAACAGGAUUAGAUACCCGAGUAGUCCCUGUCUCUUAUAC
rnacentral:rRNA from 1 species